UACGAAGGGGGCUAGCGUUGCUCGGAAUCACUGGGCGUAAAGCGCACGUAGGCGGAUUGCUAAGUCAGGGGUGAAAUCCUGGAGCUCAACUCCAGAACUGCCUUUGAUACUGAAGAUCUUGAGUCCGGGAGAGGUGAGUGGAACUGCGAGUGUAGAGGUGAAAUUCGUAGAUAUUCGCAAGAACACCAGUGGCGAAGGCGGCUCACUGGCCCGGUACUGACGCUGGAGGCACGAAAGCGUGGGGAGCAAACAGG
rnacentral:rRNA from 1 species